CACAGAUUUAGCAUUCUCCAAUAUACUCUCUCAGAUUCCCUUCGCAAUGAUUUUUCCAGGCAGGCCUACAAAACAAGAAAACUGGAUGAUUAGUUCUUGUAUUCAAUAGACAUGUGCAUAGUGAAUCUUUUCAGUGUUUUCAGGUUUUUGGUAAAAAAAAUAAAAAUAAAAGAAGCAUUUGACCGAGGUUUGGAAACAUACUUAUUCUUUUUUACCGGAACUCUGUUGUAUUUCAGUUUAAAUAACUUUUGGUCAAUCAUUAAUCUCUACUGGAAAGGAAUUGAGACAAACAGGAUUAAAGGGACACUAUAGGCACACAUACUGCUUUAUAUUAUUUUUGACAUCAGCAAAAAGCAGAGGUGGCACUGGCAGUCACAUUUUUAGAUUGGAUCCGUGGAGAAAAAAGAAACUGCAUUGUUUUACAGAGUGAAGCACUGUAGCUGUACCCUAACCCUAAAAAUCCCUAAAGAAUGAAAACUUUUAGGACAGAAACAGCAGCCUUUGGAUGUGAGUCGAGGAAGAGAGAUGGCAGAAAGGCAGUCACAUUUAUUAGGCCUCUGCAAAAAAAGCACACUCCAGUGCUUUAUAGGGCAAACAUUACUCGCAACAACCCUUGUCUGUCUCUGCCUUUAGCACCGCGAUCGCAGACGCCAGCUAAGGAAGAGGAUCUCUGUUUCUCUGCUACAACCAGUGUCACUUGUUUGUAUGUAUUAUUCCCUACCGUGAGAUUGCUCUUUAUUCUUGGGUCACAAAUGGUGUCAACGUCUGGUUGUAGCCUCCCUCCAGGACUGCUUCCGUUUUAUUCUUUAGGAACUUAAAUAAUGAAGUCAACUACCAAUGGCUUGCUUUGGCUUGAUUUUAUGUGUCAUCCUGGAAAAACGUAAGGAAGGACCGCCACUGUCUGACCUAUAGCUCCCCAUUCUUCUCUUGCCAGUGGAAAUGUCACUCCUGUGCUCAUCUCUGAUGACAGGAAAUGUAUUACUCUCUGCUACUCACAGAUACAUUCCAUCAUCUCCAAAUUGAAGUUCUACUGUGUCACAUCAUCUUGGCGAAGACGAUGCUAUGACACAUGAUGCUACAUGUUUUUGAUGUUCCUUCAGCUUUUUACUGAAUAAUGGAUAUUUGCACAAGUCUACUACCUAGCACCUUCAGUUUAAUAACAACCAAUAUGAUGGAGAAUUGAGUGAAAAUCUCCAGAAGUUAAAAUUAAUGAUUUCUCUGGCUAGUGUGUAGUGCCACCUGCUGAUAGCUAGCUAAAAGACUGCAAUCCAGCAAUCAACAGUGCUUAACUGCUGCUCACUCUAUCUCAAUCUUCAGUGUUCCAGCAGCAGGGCCGGCCUUAGGGGUGUGCGAGCUGUGCGACCGCACAGGGCGCCAUGGAACAGGGGGCGCCCUGUGGCCGACACAGCUC